GCCGGUGUGGCUCAAUGGGUAGAGCCCCAGCCUGCAGACUGAAGGGUCAUGGGUUCGAUUCCCGUCAAGGGCU
rnacentral:tRNA from 1 species